CAGAAAUGAAUCUGCCUUGAGCAAGUUUGUCUUAUUUAGUCCAUGAAGCUUUUUUUAAAGAAGUAACAUGCUGUUUAAUUUCUUCAUUCUAGAGCUACAAGUUCAUUUUCCUGGGAGGCUCCUCUUGCACAGAAGCGAAGAAUCACAGGAUUUGGAAGAUACUCACAGGGAUCGAGUCCAGCUCCUUGCUCCACAUAGGACCACCACAAAAUCAAACCACAGAAUCACAGAAUAUCCAGAAACUCCAGGAAUACGAUGUCAAGGAAAGUGAACUACAAUGAAUACUCUGGAAGGAUGUCCUUCUUUGAUUUAAGGAGCCUAGGUAACUGAGACUUCAGGUUGCUUCGAAUAGUUAAAUAUCUGAAAGAGAACAUCUUUCCACUACUCAGUCUUUGUAUAGAUCCAGCCCUUGGCUUCAGCUCUGGUUGUGACCUUAUCUGCUGAACUGAGAACACUUCAGUCUGUGACAAGCCUCUCACAGCAAUGAUAAAAGUAACUGGCAAAAGGUAGAGUGCAAAAAUAAAAGCAUGGUGUUAAAAAGGAGAGUAAAUAUUAAAAGCAUAAGCCUUCAGGUGACUGUGACAACUAAAGGUUACUUCUAAGGCUGUGAAUUCCUCAUAGCUCCUGGCAGAAACAGAGAGCAGCACACUCUGCUUUGGGAAGGUGUGAAAUUUCUAGUUUCUUCACCACAUUGCACAAUUUCCCACGGGACAUUUCAGUAUGAGCAACAGAAAAAGAUCUCACAAACUUAAACAUGCUACCUUCCAAAAGUCUGAUCUUUGUUUUAUACUCUCUUCUGACAAAGAGAGGUUCCAGAAAACAUGCUGCUUUUAAAAAUUGCCUCUGCUAACAACAACACAAAGAGAACUGUGCAGUUUCAGUGGCAUGCCAGGCUGUGGAUGGCUCCUGCCCCACAGUGGGCACAACUUCCUAAUGAGCGAGGCAUGACCGCUCACUGCUGCGCCCCUCCUGGGACCCCCACAGGGAGAAUCAUAGAAGGGAACCAUUAAGGUUGCCCCACAGGUGGACCUGCCCCUGUGCUCACACCCUCUACAUGCAGUCUCGGUCAUGAACCUGCAGAUAACACCUCACUGUAACACAGGUUCUAUGCCAGGAUGAGGGCAUCCUUGAUGUUACUGCCAGUAACACAAAGCAAAUAGUAGAAAUGUUCGACCAUCGGUUCAUAAAACAUAGUUUUUAUUGGAGCUCAGACAUACACUUUUCUUCUUUUCAUUCUGGUGUGAUGCAAGAGCAAGCACCCCAACCUGGACAUAUGAGACAAGAAAAAGUCCCUCCAACAAAUACCCCUCCCCCCCCCCAAAAAAAAAGAAUACAAUAAUCUUCGUGGGAGGAGAAAAUAAGGAGCAGACACUUGACAGUACUACUAAUGUGUCAAUAGAGUAGACAAGGACACAACGUGGCAGGCAAACUGAUGGCCAGCAAGGAUAAAGAGGUGCACCAUCUUACCCUGCCUGACAAUCUUUCUCUGGGCCAGUGGCUCCCUUCAGACCUAUGGGAAGAAACAGUUUAUAGGAGACAGUGGGAGAUAAGAUCUGCUUACAGCGACUAAGUUCCUCUAGAGCUACCUUUGCAAAAGGUAAGGGCCUGCAGAGGAAGAGUAAUAGCAAGAUGAGCUGUACAGAAGUAGAUUGCCAGCUGCAGAGAUGCCCCACUAAUCUCAUCAACACAAACCAGGAUAUUGACAGUACUUGUGGAAUCUCUGGAACACGUGAUUGGGAAGCAAAUGUAAAAAGAAUGCAUUUAAAAUGUGAUGAUAAAUGUGUCAGGUAUCCAUGGCUUGCUCUGUUAUGAUUCGUGGUUGAAGUUCUUAUUAGAUCUCUGGACACUUUUUUCAAGUUGAAAAUGAACAAUCAGUUGGGCACUUCAGAGAAUAUCAAUUCAUGUUUCUAAAAGUAACAGACUUCUUUAAGUAUAUAAGGUAUUUAUAUGAUAAAAGAUAUUUGAUUGCUUUCUCUACCAAAAAAAAAAAAAUCUUUCUUUUUAUAAACUUCAGUUUAUAGUUUAUGGAAACUUCUUCAAGCUACCUAAAACUACUUACGAAUCAAUUCAUGUCUGCUUGUCUAUCCACUGGUAGACUGAAGGCCUCCAUCUUAAUGGACACAUGACUUCAUAUAUUAAUCAAAUGAGACAACAGCACCUGGCAGUGAAAGAUUAACCAUGUCUACCAUGUCUCCUUCCUCAGGUCUUUGGAAACUGAUUGUUUCCCUAAGGUCAUUUGUAAUAGUAGAAGCAAAAUAAAUUUUUAAGGCUGCUAUUCAGGAAAUGGCCUUUUAUUUUUACUUUGAUGCACCUUUUCUCCUGAAGUGCACAUUAUGUGCAUGACACAUGACACACAGUACUGAAAACUAACUUCUGUUUACCCUAUUCUUCAGCCUGUUCACCGCAUAUGCUAUAAUUAUCUUUUUGAAAUAUUUUUCAUUUCAUCUUAUUUCCUUCCAUCCACUCUCUUUGCAUUCACCCAGCUGUGGUGAACUUACUCUUCUAAAGCUAGGAGGUGUACAAUGGCUGCUAGAGAAGUCAGAGAGCAAGAAAUUCAGCUUUAUCUUCUACAAGCAAGGAGCACAGAAAUAGAAACUUCAAACGAGGUUUACAAGGCAGCAACUGCAGUGUCAGAUAAUGCCAUAACGAAUUGUGCAGGGCAGUCUGGAUAACACAGUGAAAAUGUCCUGUCCCCAGCCCCCCAGACUCCUGAACUGGCAAGGUCAAGGCCUAGACCUAUGAGGCCAGUUACAUCUUUCAACACUUCGACUACAUGACUGAACGCUGCAGAAUUAUGUGGACUACAUUUUCCAGGUGGUCUUGAUCCUCUGCUAUUUAUGUGUUUUUAAUUUCAUUUAAUACAACAGAUUUAGUGUUUCCCAGGAUAGAUGGGUGCGUUCAAAAAUCAAGGAACAAGUAGAAAGUAAGGCAAGAGAGUUUAAUAGUAAACAUUAAAUACUUUUCAUUGUAAUUACAUGACUGGUAAAAAUCAAUACUACUUAAUUUCCAGUACUAAAGGAGUAUUAGCAGGAGAAAGGACUGGGUUUCAAACAUGUUUACUACGUGCCUAUUGGAAUUUAUGGCUUCUUUUCACAUACGGCAUAAUAAAGUCUUUUGCAUAUCUGUAUUUCUGCAAAUCUAAACGAUGUUACUGAUGUAACUUAAGCCAAAUCCAACAUGCUAGAAUUCUUUGUGCUUGAUUCUAGACCAUAACAGCUAAUCUUUAAGCAGUAGGUGAGCUGGAUUUCUCAGGAGAACUUCAGAGUUUAACUGUUCUGUAAAUUGCAAAAUGAAAACAGAGCAACUACACUGCAUGUCAUUCUGUCUUUUUUAUCAUAAAAGGCUCACAAGGUUAAGCAGAGGCUUUUCAA
rnacentral:lncRNA from 1 species